UACGGAGGGUGCGAGCGUUAAUCGGAUUUACUGGGCGUAAAGCGUGCGCAGGCGGCCCGUUAAGACAGGUGUGAAAUCCCUGGGCUCAACCUAGGAAUUGCGCUUGUGACUGGCGGGCUCGAGUACGGUAGAGGGGGGUGGAAUUCCUGGUGUAGCAGUGAAAUGCGUAGAGAUCAGGAGGAACACCGAUGGCGAAGGCAGCCCCCUGGGCCUGUACUGACGCUCAUGCACGAAAGCGUGGGGAUCAAACAGG
rnacentral:rRNA from 1 species